GGAUAAGGAAAGUAAAAAAGGGCGCAUGGCGGAUGCCUUGGCUCUCGGAGGCGAUGAAGGACGUGAUAAGCUGCGAUAAGCUUUGGGGAGGUGCAAAUGACCUUUGAUCCAGAGAUUUCCGAAUGGGACAACCCAAUAUCUUGAAGAGGUAUUAUCUUACUAUGUAAGAGGCUAACGCAGGGAACUGAAACAUCUUAGUACCUGCAGGAAAAGAAAAUAAACAAUGAUUCCCCCAGUAGUGGCGAGCGAACGGGGAACAGCCCAAACCAUCCAUGUUACGGCAUGGGUGGGGUUGUAGGACUACGCCGUUGCAUGAAGACAUCAGAGAAGAACUUUCUGGAAAGAAAGACCAUAGAGCAUGACAGUUGCGUAUUCGAAUGUUGUCGAAGCAUAGUAGUAUCCUGAGUAGCGCGGAGCACGAGGAAUUCUGCGUGAAUCUGCCGGGACCAUCCGGUAAGGCUAAAUACUCCCGAGAGACCGAUAGCGAACCAGUACCGUGAGGGAAAGGUGAAAAGCACUUCGAACAGAAGAGUGAAAUAGUUCCUGAAACCGUGCGCCUACAAGCGGUCGGAGCUCGUUAAUGAGUGACGGCGUGCCUUUUGCAUAAUGAACCUACGAGUUGCCUUUGCCGGCAAGGUUAAGUGUGACGACACACGUAUCCGAAGCGAAAGCGAGUCUGAACAGGGCGUAUAGUCGGCAGUGGCAGACGCGAAACCAAGUGAUCUACCCUUGGCCAGGUUGAAGGCUGGGUAACACCAGCUGGAGGACCGCACCAAUAAGCGUUGAAAAGCUUCUGGAUGAGCUGAGGGUAGGGGUGAAAGGCUAAUCAAACUUGGAGAUAGCUCGUACUCCCCGAAAUGCAUUUAGGUGCAGCCUUGCGGGUUACUGAUGUGAGGUAGAGCGACUGAUAAGAUGCGAGGGCUUCACCGCCUAUCAAGUCUUGACAAACUCCGAAUGCGCAUCAGUUCUACCGCAGGAGUGAGGGCAUGGGUGCUAAGGUCCGUGCCCGAGAGGAGAAGAAUCCGGACCACCUGCUAAGGUCCCGAAAUGACAGCUAAGUUAAACUAACGAAGUCUGACUGCUAAGACAGCUAGGAUGUUGGCUUGGAAGCAGCCAUUCAUUUAAAGAGUGCGUAACAGCUCACUAGUCGAGGAGUCGGGCGUGGAUAAUAAUCGGGUAUCAAGUUGUCUACCGAAGCAGUGGGAUCAUUUAUAUGAUCGGUAGGGGAGCAUUCCAGUCAGCGUCGAAGGCGUACCGUGAGGUAUUCUGGAGCGUCUGGAAAAGCAAAUGUAGGUAUAAGUAACGAUAAAGGGGGCGGGAAACCCCCUCGCCGAAAGACUAAGGUUUCCUGAUCAACGCUAAUCGGAUCAGGGUCAGUCGGGUCCUAAGGCUCAGCCGAAUGGCGAUGCCGAUGGCAGAAACGGUUAAUAUUCCGUUACUACCUUCAGGAGUGACGUGGAGACGCAGUAGUGACAGUGCCGCCAUCUGACGGAAUAGAUGGUUGAAGGGUGUAGGAGUCGAUCAUGGCAGGCAAAUCCACCAUGAGAUCCGAACCUGACAGUAUGCCGCGUCCUUCGGGACAAGGCAAUAGUGCGCGUAAGCAUGCUGCCGAGAAAAUCCGCUAAACUUAAUCCUGCAGGUACCCGUACCGCAAACGGACACACGUAGUCGGGAUGAAUAUUCUAAGGCGCUUGAGUGAUUCACGGUUAAGGAACUAGGCAAACUGACCCUGUAACUUCGGGAUAAAGGGUCCCUACCCUUUUAUGGGAGGGCGCAGAGAAUCGGUCCAGGCAACUGUUUAACAAAAACACAGGGCUGUGCCAAAUCGAAAGAUCCAGUAUACAGCCUGACACCUGCCCGGUGCUGGAAGGUUAAGAGGAGAUGUCAUCGAUAAGAGAAGCGUUGAAUUGAAGCCCCAGUAAACGGCGGCCGUAACUAUAACGGUCCUAAGGUAGCGAAAUUCCUUGUCGGGUAAGUUCCGACCUGCACGAAUGGUGUAAUGAUCUGGACGCUGUCUCAACCGUGAGCUCAGUGAAAUUGUAGUAUCGGUGAAGAUGCCGAUUACCCGCGAUGGGACGAAAAGACCCCGUGAACCUUUACUAUAGCUUAUCAUUGAAUCUGGGCACGUGAUGUGUAGGAUAGGUCGGAGGCUUUGAAGCAGGUACGCCAGUAUUUGUGGAGCCGCUGUUGAAAUACGACCCUUUAUUUGUUUGGAUUCUAACCCGUGGAUACGGGGACAUUGAUUGGUGGGUAGUUUGACUGGGGUGGUCGCCUCCAAAAGCGUAACGGAGGCUUCUAAAGGUGCCCUCCGGCCGAUUGGUAACCGGCCUUAGAGUGUAAUGGCAUAAGGGCGCUUGACUGGGAGACUAACAAGUCGAUCAGGUAGGAAACUAGAGCAUAGUGAUCCGGUGUUUCCGUAUGGAAGGGACAUCGCUCAAAGGAUAAAAGGUACUCCGGGGAUAACAGGCUGAUCCCUCCCAAGAGCUCAUAUCGACGGAGUGGUUUGGCACCUCGAUGUCGGCUCGUCACAUCCUGGGGCUGGAGAAGGUCCCAAGGGUUGGGCUGUUCGCCCAUUAAAGUGGCACGCGAGCUGGGUUCAGAACGUCGUGAGACAGUUCGGUCUCUAUCUAUCGUGGGCGUAUGAAAUUUGCGUGGCUCUGACACUAGUACGAGAGGACCGUGUUGGACAGACCUCUGGUUUGCCGGUUGUGCCGCCAGGUGCAUUGCCGGGUAUCUAAGUCUGGAUCGGAUAAGUGCUGAAAGCAUCUAAGUACGAAGCCGGCCACAAGAUUAGAUUUCUCAGGGUCGUUGUAGACUACGACGUUGAUAGGAUGCAGGUGUAAAGGUAGAGAUACCAAAGCCGAGCAUUACUAAUUGCCCGUUCACUUUCUUUA
rnacentral:rRNA from 1 species